GACGAACGCUGGCGGCGUGCUUAACACAUGCAAGUCGAGCGGUAAGGCCCUUCGGGGUACGACGAGCGGCGAACGGGUGAGUAACACGUGGGUGACCUGCCUCUAGCUCUGGGAUAAGCCUGGGAAACUGGGUCUAAUACCGGAUAUGACUCCACGGCGCAUGUUGUGGGGUGGAAAGCCUUGUGUGGCUAGAGAUGGGCCCGCGGCCUAUCAGCUUGUUGGUGGGGUGAUGGCCUACCAAGGCGACGACGGGUAGCCGGCCUGAGAGGGCGACCGGCCACACUGGGACUGAGACACGGCCCAGACUCCUACGGGAGGCAGCAGUGGGGAAUCUUGCGCAAUGGGCGAAAGCCUGACGCAGCGACGCCGCGUGAGGGAUGACGGCCUGG
rnacentral:rRNA from 1 species